rnacentral:rRNA from 1 species
GGUACGGCGAGUGACCAGGGAAGAGCCCAACACCGAAGACUGUGGCCAGUUGGCUACUAGUCAAUGUGGUGUUUAGGUUGUUCCGGCGGAGUCGCUGCUCCACCCUAAGUCCAUGAAUGAGUAUGGUAAAUGGACAUGGCCCACAGAGGGUGACAGGCCCGUGGGGGUGGAGGUCAGGCAGGCCAGCGACGCCCUGGAUAGACCUUGGAGUCGGGUUGUUUGUGAUUGCAGCCCAAAGUGGGUGGUAAACUCCAUCUAAGGCUAAAUACUAGCACGAGUCCGAUAGCAAACAAGUACCGUGAGGGAAAGUUGAAAAGUACUUUGAAGAGAGAGUAAACAGUGCGUGAAACCGAUCAGAGGUAAGCGGGUGGAGUUGAACUGCAAGCUCUGAGAAUUCAGCUGGUGAGUGUGGUUUGAGCUUGGUCAAGUCAGUUGGACUCUGUGGUUCGCGAAGCACUUAGCAAGUGUUGCGGGCCAUGGGUGUUCUUCGGGCUGACUCGCCGGUGCACUUUCUCAGAGUGGUCACCACGACCGGCAUCGCUGUCUGGCUGGUGGGGUUAAACCGGUUUUGCAAGGUCCUUGUGGCUCUGCUUGAUCGGGAUGGCAGGUAGCUCGUUGGUUUGCUUGCGAGCCUUCGAGUGUAAUCAGCUGACCACAUCGGUUCUGUGCAGUAUGUCGGAGACGGCGGCUAGUGCGCGUGCGUGCAUAGCUGGUCGGCGCGUUCGGGUUUGGUUGUUACGUGCCUGUUUAUUCAGGCCUGAUGAUGGCUCGGAUUCGUUCGGCUGGCUGUUGCGUGCGUGCACAAUACGGGGCCAAUAGUCUGUGGUGUAGUGGUAAUUAUCCACCCGACCCGUCUUGAAACACGGACCAAGGAGAGUAACAUGUGCGCGAGUCAUUGGGUAU